UACGAAGGGUGCUAGCGUUGUUCGGAAUUACUGGGCGUAAAGCGCGCGUAGGCGGCUUUCCAAGUCAGGGGUGAAAUCCUGGGGCUUAACCCCAGAAUUGCCUUUGAAACUGGAAAGCUGGAGUGUCGGAGGGGAUAGCGGAAUUGCUAAUGUAGAGGUGAAAUUCGUAGAUAUUAGCAGGAACACCGGUGGCGAAGGCGGCUAUCUGGACGACAACUGACGCUGAGGCGCGAAAGCGCGGGGAUCAAACAGG
rnacentral:rRNA from 1 species